rnacentral:rRNA from 1 species
GACGAACGCUGGCGGCGUGCUUAACACAUGCAAGUCGAACGGAAAGGCCCUGCUUUUGUGGGGUGCUCGAGUGGCGAACGGGUGAGUAACACGUGAGUAACCUGCCCUUGACUUUGGGAUAACUUCAGGAAACUGGGGCUAAUACCGGAUAGGAGCUCCUGCUGCAUGGUGGGGUUGGAAAGUUUCGGCGGUUGGGGAUGGACUCGCGGCUUAUCAGCUUGUUGGUGGGGUAGUGGCUUACCAAGGCUUUGACGGGUAGCCGGCCUGAGAGGGUGACCGGCCACAUUGGGACUGAGAUACGGCCCAGACUCCUACGGGAGGCAGCAGUGGGGAAUAUUGCACAAUGGGUGGAAGCCUGAUGCAGCAACGCCGCGUGCGGGAUGACGGCCUUCGGGUUGUAAACCGCUUUCGCCUGUGACGAAGCGUGAGUGACGGUAAUGGGUAAAGAAGCACCGGCUAACUACGUG